GAUUGUGUUUCAGUUGCCCUUGCUGGGCACCUGACCUCUGAGAGCAAGAAAGAGAAACAAUAUUUUCACCCUCCCCUCUCUAUCCUUCGUGUGUUUUGGGUGACAGCUGUGCUGAGCAGGGAGGAGUCUUCAGCUGCUGAUGACAGGCCAAAACCUCCCCAUCGCCACCAAAAGCGGGCUUGGGCAAGACUUUUGGGCUCAAUGUCAAAUGUGCGGCGUCUGAACGGCGUCCUAGCUGACAUGAUUUGGUCUCCGAGAAGCUGCAUCAUCUGAAACGGCAGCUCCUGUUUCUGUCAAGGGAAGAAGUAGGCCUCUGUCCCUCUGAAGACAGUAAACGGGCCACAUAAAUAGAGUGGCAGGAUGGAGAGGAAAUGAGCGAGGAUCCAUCUUCAACGCACCGGAGAGAAACAGCUGUUUCAGCUUCAAUAUAUUGAAUUCCAAGAAGCGGCGGAGCUCCUUUAUUUCACAGACAGGACGGAGACAGAGAGAGGAGCGGAGGAGAGAGGAGAGUUGGAGACAGGAGCAGUCAUCCCUGUCGCAUGUGAUAUUAUAGCCUGAUCAAAAAACACCGAAAUUGGAAAGAGGGAACACGCAGAGUUCAGAGAAAACCACGUCCUACCUGUGAAAUAAAGGAGCUUCUUGGAAUUCAAUAUAUUGAAGCUAAAAGAGUUCACCGCUGCUGGUUUGCUUUGCUGGUGAUAUUACUCAUACCUCUGUGCACAGACUAAUAACACUGUGCAGGAAAGUCAUUGAAGUGUCAGAUAUCUGUGGUCUUCCAGAGUCCCUGCAAUGUAAGAAAUACACUUUGCUUGCUUUGUUUUUCAUUGUUUUUCCACAUAUAAAAAAAACAAACAUGCUCUGGUUUUUUUCUUCUUAGACCUUUUCAUGGGUAAUUUUUUGGUUCUGUAAAGUAAUUGUCAGGAUCCUGUCUGACCCAUUGUGUGUUAACCUCUGUUUCCCCACAAUCUCCUCUCCUCAUGUGUCUGUUUUUUUCUCUUAUGCCAUGUGCUCGGUGUUUUUCUCAGGCCGCCUCCAGACACCUCCCGUGGCCACAUCCCUGAUUGGUGCACAGCUGCGGACAAUCUGGACAGUCCUGCAGGUCUCGGUUGUCAGUCCGUAUUGUCUUCUGCCUCGAGUACCUGUCAGAUCUGCCAGCCUCCGGUGUCGAGCCACGGGACUUCACACCGUCGAUCUACUAGCCGGAUACUGUCUCCUGUGGUCUUGCUAUUGGGUCCAAACCUUGAACUCCAGUGACAGAAUGGACUGACCAGUAUGGAUCCAGCCACCACAGGAGCAGCGACACUGGCUGGACGUAUAGCACGCUGCUGGAGGAACACCAGCAGAUGCUCAAAGAGAUGUUUAAGGCACGGAGAUCCAUCGCAUCUGAUGUUUCUCAGAUUGGCUGCAUCGUGCAGGAACUCUCCGAACGACAGAACCAAAUAAACGCUUGGUGGAUCUCCGCAGCAUCCCUGCUCCAUGCUACCAAGUCAGUCCACCCCCAUCCCCCCCCCGGUUCAUCGGCCCAUUUGAAAUCCAAGCCAUUAUCAAUCCUUCCGCGGUCCGUCUGAAACUCCCCUCGUCCACCCACACGACGUUCCACAUGUCACAGCUCAAACCUGUGUCCACCAGUGCUCUGUACAACCUGUAUACCGGAUACUGUCUCCUGUGGUCUUGUUAUUGGGUCCAAACCUUGAACUCCUAUGACAGUAAUAGGUUUUCACUAUGAUGCGCAAAA